GCCGAGAUAGCUCAGCUGGUAGAGCAACCGCUUCGUAAGCGGUAGGUCGUGGGUUCAAAUCCCAUUCUCGGCU
rnacentral:tRNA from 1 species